UACAACUCAGUUCAGUAUGAAUUGCAUAUUUUAAUGGCUGAAAAUAUAUCUGAUCUCUUUCAGAACAUCACCUGAUCACCUGUCUGGAAUCCACCUGCUUAAGUUCUGGUCAAGGGGCUCAUCGGCUAUCAAGUUAUAGAUUUCAGUGGCUAAUAGAAGACACUGCUGAGGUCAGACGAGAGUGCAUCCUCAAAGGUCUGUGUGUACCUAAAUGAAGAUCCAGAGAAGCUGGUGAGAGAGUACAUGGACGUUGAUGAAUGAAAUGGCCAAAGACGAGACUGUCCUCGGAAUCGUCAUUUGAGCAGAGGGUGCAGAGGCUGCCGAUCCUCAUCUGGAUGUUGGGAUUGUCCUGGAGGAGGUGGAAGUUAUGAACAGCUUGGGCAGUGUAUCUUCUGCAAUAGUGAUGCUGCUGGGACUAAUCUACGCACUAAACUUGAGCUACCCUCAAGUUUAGUGCGUUCAGCACUCAACUUGCUCAGUAACUCAAGCAUACCUUUGAAGUAAUACACAAAAAUAAUAAUGAAAUUGGAUGGAAAGAACUUAUCAAAG